rnacentral:rRNA from 1 species
UACGUAGGGUGCAGGCGUUAAUCGGAAUUACUGGGCGUAAAGCGUGCGCAGGCGGUUUGUUAAGACAGGUGUGAAAUCCCCGGGCUUAACCUGGGAACUGCGCUUGUUACUGGCAAGCUGGAGUGUGGCAGAGGGGGGUGGAAUUCCACGUGUAGCAGUGAAAUGCGUAGAGAUGUGGAGGAACACCGAUGGCGAAGGCAGCCCCCUGGGCUAACACUGACGCUCAUGCACGAAAGCGUGGGGAGCAAACAGG